rfam:Tuber melanosporum whole genome shotgun sequence assembly, scaffold_10, strain Mel28
UUACAUGAUGAUAAAGAGCCAUAGCGCUUGAAUAAUCCCAGCUCGUUGAGCGGCCUCAACAAAAUUACAACGCUUAGAGGCAGCUGUGAGAUAGAAAUCUGUCCGAUACU